CUUGGAUAACCGUGGUAAUUCUAGAGCUAAUACAUGCUUAAAACCCCAACUUCGGGAGGGGUGUAUUUAUUAGAUAAAAAACCAACGCCCUUCGGGGCUUCUUGGUGAUUCAUGAUAACUUUACGGAUCGCAUGGCCUUGCGCCGGCGACGGUUCAUUCAAAUUUCUGCCCUAUCAACUUUCGAUGGUAAGGUAUUGGCUUACCAUGGUUUCAACGGGUAACGGGGAAUUAGGGUUCGAUUCCGGAGAGGGAGCCUGAGAAACGGCUACCACAUCCAAGGAAGGCAGCAGGCGCGCAAAUUACCCAAUCCCGACACGGGGAGGUAGUGACAAUAAAUACUGAUACAGGGCUCUUUUGGGUCUUGUAAUUGGAAUGAGUACAAUUUAAACCUCUUAACGAGGAACAAUUGGAGGGCAAGUCUGGUGCCAGCAGCCGCGGUAAUUCCAGCUCCAAUAGCGUAUAUUAAAGUUGUUGCAGUUAAAAAGCUCGUAGUUGAAACUUGGGUCUGGCUGGCAGGUCCGCCUCACCGCGUGUACUUGUCCGGCCGGGCCUUCCUUCUGGAGAACCUCAUGCCCUUCACUGGGCGUGUUGGGGACCAGGACUUUUACUUUGAAAAAAUUAGAGUGUUCAAAGCAGGCCUUUGCUCGAAUACGUUAGCAUGGAAUAAUAGAAUAGGACGUGCGGUCCUAUUUUGUUGGUUUCUAGGACCGCCGUAAUGAUUAAUAGGGACAGUCGGGGGCAUCAGUAUUCAAUUGUCAGAGGUGAAAUUCUUGGAUUUAUUGAAGACUAACUACUGCGAAAGCAUUUGCCAAGGAUGUUUUCAUUAAUCAGUGAACGAAAGUUAGGGGAUCGAAGACGAUCAGAUACCGUCGUAGUCUUAACCGUAAACUAUGCCGACUAGGGAUCGGGCGAUGUUCUUUUUCUGACUCGCUC
rnacentral:rRNA from 1 species